rnacentral:lncRNA from 1 species
AUUAAAGAGGCCUCUGCUCAAUGAAGGCGGUUCGCUACAGGAACCCCAUCCUCUGAAACUCAGAGUACAGUCGCUCAUGAAGCAGAGACACCAUCAACCUGCUGUUCCAACAGCCAGCAGAGAAAAGACUCCGAACGUCCCAGUUCCUCAUCACACGGAGAAGGGCUUCGAGCUCUUUCUAGGGGCGCUCAGCAAAGGGGCGGCCGCCAACUUGAAACCAAUGACCUCCUCUGCGCCGCUGCCUUCUUCCAGCCGCGGCGUUGCCUCACCUGCUAAAGGAGCGAGUCGAUCUGACGAGGCGUUUGAGCGCUUUCUCAGGCUGCUGAACAAAAACGCAGAAGUCAACCCUAAUGAGAUGGUAAGAUCUGGACAAAUGUCCAUGGAAGAAGUGCAUUAUGGGAAAUGUUUUCAUAGAGGAAUCACGAUAGUAGAUCUUUUUUAACCCUAAAAUUAAA